GGGGAAUUUUCCGCAAUGGGCGAAAGCCUGACGGAGCAAUACCGCGUGAGGGAUGACGGCCUAUGGGUUGUAAACCUCUUUUUUCAGGGAGGAAACAAAUGACGUUACCUGAAGAAUAAGCAUCGGCUAACUCCGUGCCAGCAGCCGCGGUAAGACGGAGGAUGCAAGUGUUAUCCGGAAUCACUGGGCGUAAAGCGUCUGUAGGUGGUUGAAUAAGUCAACUGUUAAAUCUUGAGGCUCAACCUCAAAACCGCAGUCGAAACUAUUCGACUAGAGUAUAGUAGGGGUAAAGGGAAUUUCCAGUGGAGCGGUGAAAUGCGUAGAGAUUGGAAAGAACACCGAUGGCGAAGGCACUUUACUGGGCUAUUACUAACACUGAGAGACGAAAGCUAGGGUAGCAAAUGGGAUUAGAUACCCCAGUAGUC
rnacentral:rRNA from 1 species